AUUCUACCCAUGCGGGGAAGGAUGAGAAGCUUCGACUAAGGUUCGAUUCGAGCGCAGCGAGAAAGCGUUGCCGCA
rnacentral:sRNA from 1 species